GUGCCUUGGUGGUCCGAAGCCACAUUCUUGCCUGAGCCCAGUUCAGGCCACCAGGGCACCAGUUUGCAAAAGGUCCACCCCAUCUCUGAAGCAAGCCUCAAAUGGUUAUCUGUCAGUCACCACCAAGGCUUUUCAGCAGCCCGGCGCAUGUGCUCCGAGAGUCUGUCAGCGAGGCUGUCUGGCCAGACCCAGAACCAUGGAAAAUGGAACCUUUGUUGAUGCUGCUCUCGGAGAAGGAAGCCCAUUCAGUCUCCCUCCGCUGCCGCCUCUCCUCCUCACUUGGGACCGCCUCCUUCCUCUUCUGAGCCCUGAGUGACUGGCCACAGAUUUUGCACGAAGAAGCAGAAAUACAUUAUUCUUAUCAGG